GGUAGAACUAUUUUGAGUUCCAUGAAGAGCCUUGUGGAAAGGGUUCUACAUGGAACCCAAAAGGGUUCUACCUGGAACCAUAUAGGGUUCUCCUAUGGGGACAGCCAAUGAACCCUUUUUUUCUAAGAGUGUACGGACUUCAAACCAUCCAAUCGAAAUGUAGAGAAACAUAGAGUGCAAGGAAAUUAAAGGCUGAUUUACCUAACUCUGUAGACACCGAAGGAAUCUCCAAAGUUAACCAACCCUGUGAGCGAGUUUGAUCAUUUGUCAUUUUAAAUCUUAACAGUGAUGUUAGGCAAGCUUAGCUUAGCUUUUGGAGCAGGGCUUUGUAAACAAAAGGAGCGUAAUGAUGUGAUCUACGUGACUUUAAAGAGUUUCAACCAAACUUUUGGUAAAGAGUGCCGUGAUGAGUAGUAAACCGCCUCCUGUGAAAAAACAAAAUUUCACCUGUGGGUUGGAUGUGGGUAGGGGGGUGAGACCUGUAGGUAGGGUGUGAGACUGGUGGGUAGAUGUGAGACCUGUAGGUAGGGUGUGAGACCUGUGGGUAGAUGUGAGACCUGUAGGUAGGGUGUGAGACCUGUGGGUAUAAUGUGAGUCCUGUGGGUAGGUGUUGAGACCUGUAGGUAGGGUGUGAGACUGGUGGGUAGAUGUGAGACCUGUGGGUAGGUUGUGAGACCUGUAGGUAGGGUGUGAGACCUGUGGGUAGAUUGUGAGUCCUGUGGGUAGGUUGUGAGUCCUGUGGAUAGAUGUGAGACCUGUGGGUAGGUUGUGAGACCUGUGGGUAGGUUGUGAGACCUGUGGGUAGAUGUGAGACCUGUGGGUAGGUUGUGAGACCUGUGGGUAGGUGUUGAGACCUGUGGGUAGAUGUGAGACCUGUGGGUAGGUUGUGAGACCUGUGGGUAGAUGUGAGACCUGUGGGUAGGUUGUGAGACCUGUAGGUAGGUUGUGAGACCUGUUGGUAGGUUGUGAGACCUGUUGGCAGGGGGUGAGACAUGUGGGUAGAUGUGAGACCUGUUGGUAGGUUGUGAGACCUGUUGGUAGGGGGUGAGACCUGUUUGUAGGGGAUGAGAUCUGUUGGUAGGGGGUGAGACCUGUUGGUAGGGGGUGAGACCUGUCGGUAGGUGGUGAGACCUGUUGGUAGGUUGUGAGACCUGUGGGUAGGUUGUGAGACCUGUCGGUAGGUGGUGAGACCUGUGGGUAGGUUGAGACCUGUCGGUAGAUGGUGAGACCUGUGGGCAGGUUGUGAGAACUGUCGGUAGGUGAUGAGACGUGUGGGUAGGUGGUGAGACCUGUGGGUAGGUUGUGAGACCUGUGGGUAGGUUGUGAGACCUGUCGAUAGAUGGUGAGACCUGUGGGUAGGUUGUGAGACAUAUGGGUAGGUUGUGAGACCUGUGGGUAGAUGGUGAGACCUGUGGGUAGGUUGUGAGACCUGUGGGUAGGUUGUGAGACCUGUCGGUAGAUGGUGAGACCUGUAGGUAGGUUGUGAGUCCUGUGGGUAGGUUGUGAGACCUGUGGGUAGGUUGUGAGACCUGUAGGUAGGGGGUGAGACCUGUCGGUAGGUGAUGAGACCUGUGGGUAGGUCGUUAAUUUAAUACAUGAGUAGAUCUCUGGUCUGACAGUAGAUUGACUGCUACACUCCUUCAAUAUGGAUAGAAAGGAAUUUCAUACAAAUGUACUUUUCUAUUUAUUUAGUAGUACCCGUUUGCAUGUGAUUUUACACUUUCAGACUUUGUAUGAGAUAAAACUCAGCAUUCCAUUUAAUUAUUUAGCAGAUGUUCUUAUUCAGGGCGACAACAAGUGAAUUCAAUUCAAAAAGCUGACACCCACACACAGUUCCAAGCUCCCCACCGACCUGUCUCUUCCUCCACACAUUCAUUCUCAAACACACGGUCCCAGCUCCCCACCGACCUGUCUCUUUCUCUACACAUUCAUUCUCAAACACACGGUCCCAGCUCCCCACCGACCUGUCUCUUCCUCGACACAUUCAUUCUCAAACACACGGUCCCAGCUCCCCACCGACCUGUCUCUUUCUCCAAACAUUCAUUCUCAAACACACGGUCCCAGCUCCCCACCGACCUGUCUCUUCCUCCACACAUUCAUACUCAAACACACGGUCCCAGCUCCCCACCGACCUGUCUCUUUCUCCACACAUUCAUUCUCAAACACACGGUCCCAGCUCCCCACCGACCUGUCUCUUCCUCCACACAUUCAUUCUCAAACACACGGUCCCGUCUCCAUCUCACACAGACACGGCUACAGGUUCUAUCCUGUGUAUGUGUGUAGGACUUGCGGAGUGUGACACAGCCGUGGUGAGACAAUCUGAGCGGUAAUACACUCCUCAGUCAUCAUGGUUGUGGCGGGGUCCCAGAACAACACUGUGGAGAUGACCUGAUUCUUGUCAUCACGACCACCGGUGAUAAAGAAUUUGUUGUGUUAUUACUAUUAUCUAACACUACUAGUAGUAGAUAACAUUACUGUUGUCUAACAUUACUAGUAGUAGAUAACAUUACUGUUGUCUAACAUUACCAGUAGUAGAUCACAUUACUGUUAUCUAACAUUACUAGUAGUAGAUCACAAUUCUGUUAUCUAACAGUAUUAGUAGUAGAUCACAUUACUGUUAUCUAACAGUACUAGUAGUAGAUAACAUUACUGUUAUUACUGUUGUCUAACACUACUAGAAGUAGAUAACAUUACUGUUGUCUGACAUUACUAGUAGUAGAUGUCAUGACGUUGGCAUGUUGGGGGAGGUUUGUGACCCCCAUGAAUACCUUUCCCCUUUUUCCUCUCUCUACAGAUGUGUCUAUUGAAAAUCCCUUUGUAACAUAGAGAGUCUGGUAACAUCAAAAGUUGGGAAACGGAACCAUAUUUCAGUAAUCCAACCAGUUGAAAAUAUGCGUUGGUACUUAAUGAAUAUGAUCUCAGAUCAGUUGUUGUCUGAGACAUUACUACUGAUGAUAGUAUGACAUAAACUGUAUUACGGAAAAUCUACACAUUCUCAGAUUGUUGUGAAAUUUAAAUGUUUAAAUAUGAAACUAUUUGUGAACAGAUGAAAUGUAAUUUUAGCUUCUUAAUGAGAUAACGGUUUGUCAUUAGAACACCACUCUGCUCACUCAGAGCCCCCCCACCCCAAGUGACCAGACAUUGGUUGUAUACUAUGAAACACGCCCUUCUUUCACCACCAUAUAAACCCGUUGAUGAAAAAUCUACUUUUUAUUCCAAGGACGAAAGGACGGCGGUCCCCACGUUGAAAGGGCUAAGAUAAUAACCUAACGAAAUUAGCAUUGAAUUUCAACGUGUAGAUGGCGGUCGACACUCCGAAAGGAUGAAUUUUGACUAUACCAGCCAGAAUCUAGCAUGAGCUUAGAGUAUGGCAACUUGAUAUGAACUUUGAACUCUUAUUCACUAAAGAGGUGAGACCUCCUAGCCGAUUGAGUUAGCCACAGCAACUGUAAACGUGGGCUAGGAAAGGACGGACGACUUAUCCAGUCUAACAAGCAACGAAGAUACUAUAACGUAUCCAGUUUCCCACCAGAGACAUUCUUCAGAGGACAAGGAAGAUCUCUGUUGAGCAACACAGCCUUCCAUCCACGACCAACCUAUUGAAGCGCAGCUCAGAGUAAAUAUUCCUUGCAUUUUCCAUUUUCCCAAAUGGGCGGUUAUUUAGAAUGUUUAAGAUUCUGUAUUUAUGAUAGCAUAGCUUCUCCCUUUGUUACUCAGUCUUCCCGCACUUUCAUUCAAAACCCAACCCCCUUUCUUUGUGUAUGUAACCAGCCGUCAUAUCAGUUCCAUCCACUAGGGACGUUUUCCUUUAUAACAUAAUUUGUAAUCAAUGUAUGAUCCAU
ensembl:lncRNA